rnacentral:tRNA from 1 species
AAGAAAGUGGCAGAGUGGUGAUGUAGUUGGCUUGAAACCAACUUAUGGGGGUUCGAUUCCUUCCUUUCUUG